rnacentral:tRNA from 1 species
GCCCACAUAGCUCAGUCGGCAGAGCACUUCCUUGGUAAGGAAGAGGUCAUCGGUUCGAGUCCGAUUGUGGGCUCCA